rnacentral:rRNA from 1 species
CCUGGCUCAGAUUGAACGCUGGCGGAAUGCUUUACACAUGCAAGUCGAACGGCAGCACGGACUUCGGUCUGGUGGCGAGUGGCGAACGGGUGAGUAAUACAUCGGAACGUGCCCGGACGUGGGGGAUAACUACUUGAAAGAGUGGCUAAUACCGCAUACGAUCCAAGGAUGAAAGCGGGGGAUCGCAAGACCUCGCGCGUUUGGAGCGGCCGAUGGCAGAUUAGGUAGUUGGUGAGGUAAAGGCUUGCCAAGCCCGCGAUCUGUAGCUGGUCUGAGAGGAUGAUCAGCCACACUGGGACUGAGACACGGCCCAGACUCCUACGGGAGGCAGCAGUGGGGAAUUUUGGACAAUGGGCGAAAGCCUGAUCCAGCCAUUCCGCGUGCAGGAUGAAGGCCCUCGGGUUGUAAACUGCUUUUGUACGGAACGAAAAAGCUCUUGCUAAUACCAGGAGUUCAUGACGGUACCGUAAGAAUAAGCACCGGCUAACUACGUG